rnacentral:rRNA from 1 species
GACGAACGCUGACGGCGUGCUUAACACAUGCAAGUCGAAGGGAGUGGCGAACGGGUGAGUAACCCGUGAGUAACCUGCCCUUUUCUUUGGGAUAAGCCUGGGAAACUGGGUCUAAUACUGGAUUGAUUGGGAUGGGCUCCCGGCUUAUCACCUUGUUGGUGGGGUGGUGGCUUACCAAGGCUUUGAAGGGUAGCCGGCCUGAGAGGGGGGUCGGUGACACUGGGACUGAGAUACGGCCAAGACUCCUACGGGAGGAAGCAGUGGGGGAUAUAGCACAAUGGACGAAAGUCUGAUGAAGCGACGUCGUGUGGGGGAUGAAGGACUUGGGGUUGUAAACUCCUUUCGCCCGCGAAAUGGUAGUGGGUAAAGAGGCGCCGGCUAACUACGUGCCAGCAGCCGCGGUAAUUC